GCCGCCCUGGGAGCUGUUCCUCCGCCGGCAGCAGAAGCGUCCAGCUCGGGUUUUAUUUUCUCCCGAGACACCCGAGGAAGCCUCAGAUGAGAAACUGAAGCACAGAAAGGUAAAGUACUUGCUCAAGAAAACAAAGCUCUUGAAUUGAGAUUCAGGAUCCAAAAUGUCCAAAUAGGAACAGCUCUGGAGUGCAGUUCCCAGUGAGAACACAGAGGGUAAGUGAUCACCAUAUUUCGAAAUGAGUUUUCACUGCCCACAGCCCAGGAGAUUCCUGGG